GACAGCAAUAUGAAGGCCAGGCUGAAGACUUUGCCGGAUUAGCUGAGAGGUGGUGCAUGGCCGUCGUCAGUUCGUACUGUGAAGCAUCCUGUUAAGUCAGGCAACGAGCGAGACCCACGCCCACAGUUGCCAGCGUACUCUCUGGAGUGACGGGUACACUGUGGGACCGCCGCUGCUAAAGCGGAGGAAGGAAUGGGCAACGGUAGGUCAGUAUGCCCCGAAUAUCCCGGGCUACACGCGAGCUACAAUGGUUGGUACAAUGGGUAUCUACCCCGAAAGGGGACGGGAAUCUCCUAAAACCAAUCUUAGUUCGGAUUGAGGGCUGCAACUCGCCCUCAUGAAGCUGGAAUCCGUAGUAAUCGCGUUUCAACAGAACGCGGUGAAUACGUCCCUGCUCCUU
rnacentral:rRNA from 1 species